rnacentral:lncRNA from 1 species
CUUGUACUGACUCUCUAAUUUAGGCUCCUUCUGACCAAGGAGAGAAAACUGGAAGAAAACUAAACAGUGGUUUUGUUUAAAGAUGGGGGGAGGGGGGGGAACUGUUACCACCACCAACAAAAAAGAACUGUGGGUCAGCAUAACAUCAUGUAAACUGUAUUUCAUUUGUGCUUUCAUCAGAAAUGAAAGUCCUUAUUCUCCAUGCCAAAUAUCUACCCACUCCAUAUUCACAGUCGUCUUGUAAACUGCAUUUCCUUCAAGGCUAUCAAAAAUAAUCUGCCAGUGAAGAAAUACAUCAACUCUGCCUUGUCAUCUGAUGAUCUUGUGAUAAUCAGAUCUGUUAAUGCUACCUG